GCCGCCUCCCUCCCGCACUCGCCCCUCCCCCGCGGCCAGCUCCUCCCGCCUCGCCUCUCUCUCUCCCUCCAAACCCUAGAACCUCAUCCGCGCCUCCCAGCCCCGCCGCCGUCCAGGUCCAGCCCCAUGCCGCCGUCGUCUUCUCGCCCAGCCGGCCGCCGCCGCACCGCACGAUCGUGCGCAAGGGUGAGAAGGGAACUACUGCCCGCUCCUGGAGCACGAGGAGGACGUGGUGAUGCGGCGCCCAGAUCCACGGUGACAUCGACGCGCCGUCAUCGACCUGAGCCGCCACCGUCCUCGAGGUCGGCCAUGGAGGGGGGUCCGACCCAGCUGCAGCCGUUGACGGAGACACCCCAAACCCUAGCACGGGGACCGAGCCGCCAUGGAAGGAGGCCAGCGGCGAGGACGACGCCAUGGUCCCUGCUGUGCUCCCGGAUCCGUCGCCCAUCUGCCCCGACCUGGCCCUUCUCCUUCCCGCCGGCCAAGCGGAGCCGCUCGUGUCGCUGCUCUACCUGACGAGGGCAUCGUGCUGAGCCCCAUUAUGAGACGGCUGUGAGACUUUUCAAUGAUCCAGAUGCUGCACAUCCUGGGAGAAUAUUGAUGGCUAGGGUUGAUUGUGCAUCAGAGGACAGGUUGUGUGCUUAGGGAGGCGGCAAGGCCCAAGGAAUCUUGCGCAUAAAACAAGAUAAUGACCGAGAAGAGCAUGUGAGGGACCAACAGGUGUUUAUCCUGAGUGAUUUCAGUGUUUGUCAAGUCUGAUUAAGCUUGCCACCUUGCUUUUUCUCGAGCACAUAGCAACUGAAGAAGAGAUGAAGGCAACUGAACAACGUGCUCGCAAAGUGAAGGGUUCUUGCAAGAAGAAAGAAUCGUUGUCAUCUUAUUUUCAUGACGGCAUGGUCUCUCGACGUGUGAUGGAUUCACUCACACGGAGGAAGCUUUUCUCCGCUACUCCGGCGACAAGCGCACAAGCUUUUGGGUCCAUGGCGCCACCGGUAAACAAGAACAACUCUGGGUGCUUGAUUCUGUCUCUGGAUAAGUGAAAAUAGAUGGCAGCGAAGUUGAACUGGUUUUGCAAACACUAGCAAGUAUUUCUUCAUCGCUUCCAUCGUGCAAGUUGCGCUAGCAUUGCGGGCAUUUUUCUUCAUAUUUGGGAAGAGGGGAUGAGGUUGAAAAAUGAAGCUGGUGAUGAAAAGAAUGGAGGGCACCCGCAAAGUGAUGACGAGGAAGGAGCCCUGCAGGAGACAGCUUUCAGAGCUUGAAGAAGAUGGUCUCACAUCCACGUUGAUCUAUGAAAAUAUCAUACCAGGCAAGCGGCGGCGGCGACGGACUGGUCACCCCGCAACACCAUUCUUCCUUCACGCCAGCACAAGGGCCGCAUCGUCCACUACGACGCCGCUCGUGGCGGGCGCUGCUACGCGAGCCGCCGGAGGCGGAGCAGUCCAAGUGCCGGGUGGGGCGGGCGCUGGGCAAGGUGGGCGCGGCGCUCCGGCUAUGCGUGUUCGACAUCCGUGACGAGAAGGGCGACUCGAUGCUCCCGCAUGACGGCUUGGAGGGCGUGCACGGCGUGUGGCUGAUGGAGGGCGUGUCGGCGGCCUCGCGCCCGUCGUGGUAGCGCAUGGACGAGGAGUUGGUGGAGGACAUCUUGGUGUGGUACUUCCUGACCGGCGUCGAACGUGCAAUUCUUCAGGAGUGCGAGACAUCCCAUGCUCACGUAUACCUAUUUUUAUCUUUAUCUUUUCUUUACCUACUAAUCUUUACCUCGUGUGGAGAGGAGGUAGGUCGUCCCUCCUUGCGGACGCACGGACGAGGGUCUCAUGCUGCCGCCGUGCAUCAGGUGUUCCUGUUGUGCCCCCCUUGCUGCGUAGUUUUCAGCUCAUAGAUUAGAAGGCAAGGAUGUACUUGAGCGGUAUGAGAAGACCCAAUUCCGUUAUCUCAUAAGUCAGAAGUUUCCCAUUUACUGACUUUGGUACUACUUUUAAAAUGAACAGUCAAUCUAUUAUCAACACCAUGAGUAUGUGUCAAUUGUAGAUUCUUAAUUGCUUAGAAUUAUUUUAUUUGUUUGAUUCCUUCAUUUGAUAUUUAUUCAACAACAAAAUAUUUUCAAGAUUGACCCGUGUGAGGAUUGAACAUGUGAAUAGAUGUGGCAUCAAUCUAAGUCAGUUGACACCUUGCUCAUCUUUUUUGCUUGGAGUCUGCCUCUUGCUCCAUAGUGAAGCAUGGGCACAAAUAUACAACUAAACCGACAGGGUGAUUUCAUCGGUGGAAGCAGUGCGUUCACAAAUUAUAUGAUCGUGUGCGUGGAUCAUUUUGCAACGCACGGGCAUUUUUCCUAGUAAUAAUAAAGAAUGGAUUGAGUCUCUCGGGUUCAUCGUCGCGGCAGUUUUGCUAAACCCCCCUAUAAUUUUAGGUAAUUAACCCGCAGCACAAUUUAAAGUUUAUGAACAGAGAUACCGUUUCGUUCCAGCUUGGGCCUUUUCUAAUGGGUCUUCAGAAAAAUAAUACGUAUAGGACACAGGAGCACGGGCUCCUCAAUGCGUACGGGGGAUUGGAUGAUUUGCCUCAUUUUACAAGGGUUGGAUGAUUUGCCCUUUGAUUGUCUCAAUGACAGUGGCCCCGGACCCCACCUGGUAGCCUGUCGGGGGGUAAAUGAUCCAAUGGAGAAGUAAAGUGGGGCAAAAGAUGCCGCCGCCGCCGUGCACCCGUUACUCUCUGGCGCCGCCGCCGCCCUGCUCUCGUUCCACUCCCUACCCGUCUCCAUCUUCUCCGGCGCCACCACGAUCGUCAACGUCCUGCCGCUGUAUGUCUCCGAUUUGGAUCGGAGUCCGUGUUCCCCCAGGAUAAGUGCUGCAACACGAAUCCAUGGCGUGCCCGACCCAAAUUUCAGAGAGACUUGUCUGCCAUUAGAAGGAGCCCUCGACCGGAAUCUCCAUUAAAUCGCAUCAUAUCGCAACUUUUGAAGAGUCGUCCAGGAUCGUCUCAGCCGAGUUCGCCGGAACACCUGAGCCGGAAGAACAUACCCUGCUGAACAUGCUACCCCAGAGGUAUGUACUAGCUUUUGCCAAAUUAUUCUGUAAAAUUUUCAUCUACAAUCAUAAAAAGUAAUGUUCUUCUUGGUCUGGUCAGAAAGUACUGCACCUUUUUUCUGCAAUCUUUGUAUUUGUUCUGCUUGAAAAAAAUCUAGGACUGAUCUGUCUGCCAUUGUUCAGAUCACAUCUUCCUUUGCUAGAACACGUGAGCUGAUUCCAACUUUGGCCUCAAGUUGCUCCCGUCAAUGACAAGUGUAGUUUUAUGGGGUUCACAAUUGACUUUUUCAACUAUAAUACAAUAGUCAGUGCAUGAGACAAAUAACUCAUGUUGGAUCGACACCUCCAUAUCAGAUAGCUAUAUUCAGCGCAAGUUAUUGAUGUAUUUCUUCAACUACCUCUCAUUUACUGCAUGUUGAUUUUCUCAUGAACUGCUUGCUGCAAAUAUAGGGAGGAGUGGGAGUGCGGUGUUCAUGAAAUUGAGUAUCUCAGAAGAAUUUGGUUUGACACUUAUUUUCCUCAACCUGUUAUUCUUCAAAUGUGCUUCCCAUGGAUUUGAUAAACUUGGUGAGUUAAUGUUAUGUGUCAGGUAUGGCCAUAAGAUACUCAUGAAACUUAUUUUAUUUUGCCUCACACAAGAUGUAUGUUGUUUAGACUCAUGUACUGUCAGUACUGGUGGAUCGAUGAUCUAAGGAUCAUAUGAAUGAUUAAUGGAGGAUAAUUCAUAUUCAGUUCUCCUCUCAAAUUUUGUGGUGCCAAGCUUGAUCUUUAUCCAUCUAACUGACUGAAAGUGCCUUCUAAUCACUAUUGAAAGCAUAUGUUAGUUAGUUUGACUGUAUAUACCACACAAAAAGUAAAAAAUGAAUUCUAGAAAAAAUUAGACACAGAUACUACAGAACCAGUGGACCCUCAAGAAACAAAAGGCACACCUAUUGAUCUUCCAAGUUAAAAAUCUGAAAAUAACUUUCAUUUAGUGAUGGAUAUAUAGUCAAGAAAGGAUGCCUUUCCCUAAAGAUACAAAACAAAAUCGUGUUCGUGUAUGUCCGGCUGACAGAUGAAUCGAUCUCCUUUCAAGUAUCAACCCAGCAACCUUCGUGUAUGUACAUGUGUGCAUCAAGGAUGCACGGGUCCAUUGGCCUGCAUACCACACAUCCCUUCACUAAUUCCAUCAGUAUCAUUCUUAACAAGGUAAGUAUGAUUCCCUAAUCCCUGAUUUUAUUAAUUGAUCUUUGAUCCUUCAUCCCUAAUGUCGUUAUACCUUAUUGAUUCUAUAAAAGAUCUCAAACAAGAACAUACCAUUUUUUAGGCUACAAUUCCUAUAGCUUGCCUUGUCAAUUUGAUAAAAUUACAUGUGUGAUGGAGGUUGUAACUUAUUACGGUUUACAUUGUCAGAAUGAUAUAUGUGUCGUCUCUAAACAUAUGUAUAUAUUUUGUGUGCCGGAUUUUCUGAUGUAGAUGCUAUAUAAGAGGAAGCUAUUCGACAAUUCUGCUCAAGUUGGUACGGAUCAGAUCAAUUUUAUUCAGUAAAUAUUUAUGCUUGAUAGAUACAAGCCUCCCUCUUCUGCCCUUCUUUUCUCCUUCCUCUACAGGUCGCCAGCACAUGUGAAUCGUCCGUCAAGAGCAUGCUUGUGACAUCAUUACAUGUGAUGCAGGGCAAAAGGAUGUUGUCAGAAUGUAAAAACACAUUUAACCAUUUUCCGGGUUUUUUCCUCGCCCGUUUUCGCCGUCAUAUACACUGCAUCUCCCACUGUAACGGACAGCCAAAUUUGUAUUCUUGAAAGUUUUAAUCAUUUCUAUUGCAGCUAAGUGUUCAAGUGCAAUCUCUAGCCAAGUUCUCUUUGUUGUUGUGUUGAAUUUUGAGGAAAGGCGGCCAAGCAGCUCAUGGCAUCUGUGUCACGCCUGCUCUGCCGCUGCCUUGACCCGCCGACAACGUCGCCGGUUGAGCCGCAAGGGUGCAAGAUCAUCGUGGGGCCCAUUGCAUGGGCUCCGAGUAUGCUUGAUUGCCAUGUCGGAGGCGAAGGUGCUAGAGCUUGGUGGCGUGUUUGCAUUUGUGGAUGCAUGAAUAAUUGUCAAGGAGGCCGAAGCCAGUGCUAUUACAGUUGGACUGAAGGAAUUGUAUAACGUAUUCUGAGGCUCCUUGGUGGCGGAGAUCGACUACGCAGUGGGGAAAUGAACUAGGGGUUGAUUCUGUAAGCAGAUCAUUGUCCUACCCAAUUAUUGUUGAUAUUAAAUCUGCGCUGAGUAAUUUUUAGGCAUUAUCACAUCAGAACUGUCAAGAGGGACAGACAAUGGGCUGGCUCAUGAACUAGCCAAUGAUGCUAAAGCUCAUGGAGACCUUGUGGUUGCGUAUGGUGUCCCGGACCAACUCCAUGAUCAUCUCUGGAAGGAAAACAAUGCAGCCUUGACGUCGGCCUAAGUUGUAAUCCUCAAAAAUGAUAUUGCUUGCAGAUAGGUUAUACAUAAACAUGCAUGAUGUAGGUAUCUUAAUUUUAAUUUUGAAUACUGAGAUCUAUUCAGAUGCUUUCCUUACUCUUAUGGCUAAAAAAAUCCAGCAGACAGUGACUAAAAUUUGUUAGUUUUACUCAACUUGCUACUGCUUGAUCAGUACUCAAUCAGGCUGGGGAUGACCAUGAUAGCUGGUGUUGAGUAGGUAUAUGCAUUGAAUUUUCCGUUGUGCCAAAACUAACACAUUAGAAUCUUCCAAUUUGGUGCUACCAUAUUUUAAAGUAAGAACACUAUGAUGCAAAGGAAUCUUAUUAUGUAGCCAUAUGUAAUCUCAGUUUGUUGCUAUGUAUAUAAACUAUGACAGGAGUAGGCCCAUAUAGAUGUGUAUCCAUUUUUGCCUUCUACUGAUCUAUGACAAUGGGGAUGUGCUGGACUAAGUGGCCGUUGCUAUUGAAGCAAAGGAGUGGAACUCGCAAUUUUUCAAUCAGUGGAGGUUAUCUUUCAUAUGGAUUUUAUUAUUAGAUACUUGCAGAUGUGUGUCACUUCCUUGGAUCAUGUUUGAUUUUUAAAAUUUUAGAUGUUCAUGUAACCAUCAAUUAUGCUACUGGCAGUCCUUGUACAUUAUUUUUUAUCUGCUCUAAAAAAUUAUCUCGGUUUAUAAGCAUCAUAUGUUUUAAUGUAUAAGUAAUAUUAUGAGUUGAUCCAGUGCCGAAAACAAUUCAGUUGAACAUGUUUGUUCUAGCAGUUUUAGGCAACAAUUCAUCUGGUUGGAUGGUUAGAGGAACUGUGGUAUCUAUUUCAGGAUUUCCAGCGAUGCACUUUCAGUGGGAGGAGACGUUCCUGUCGACGACGAGGCGUCUAUUGUGACUUAGUAAAUUUCAAGAUGACAUGCCGGCUCAGUCUCUCGGAGGUGCUCAUAGGGGUAGGGUGUGCGUGUGUGCGUUCAUAGGGGUGAGUGUAUGUGCGUAUGUGUGAGCGCUUGUGUCUGUACUGAUGUUAAAAAAAAUGUAUUUGCACCAGUACAAUACCUAUGCCACUA